rnacentral:tRNA from 1 species
GCCCGGAUGGCGGAAUUGGUAGACGCGCUAGACUCAAAAUCUUGUUUUCGCAAGGGAGUGCAGGUUCGAUUCCUGUUCCGGGCACCU